GACGGAGGGUGCUAGCGUUGUUCGGAAUGACUGGGCGUAAAGGGCGCGUAGGCGGCUCGUGAAGUCGGGUGUGAAAGCCCGGGGCUCAACCCCGGAACGGCAUCCGAUACUGGCGGGCUUGAGACCGGGAGAGGAGGGUGGAAUACCCAGUGUAGAGGUGAAAUUCGUAGAUAUUGGGUGGAACACCAGUGGCGAAGGCGGCGAUCUGGGAAGAUACUGACGCUGAGGUGCGAAAGCGUGGGGAGCGAACAGG
rnacentral:rRNA from 1 species